rnacentral:rRNA from 1 species
UACGGAGGGUGCAAGCGUUGUCCGGAUUUAUUGGGUUUAAAGGGUGCGUAGGCGGCUUUAUAAGUCCGUGGUGAAGUCCAACAGCUCAACUGUUGAACUGCCAUGGAUACUGUAAGGCUUGAGUACAGACGAGGUAGGCGGAAUGGAUAGUGUAGCGGUGAAAUGCAUAGAUACUAUCCAGAACACCGAUUGCGUAGGCAGCUUACUAGGCUGUAACUGACGCUGAGGCACGAAAGCGUGGGGAGCGAACAGG